rnacentral:rRNA from 1 species
CCAAUAGCGUAUAUUAAAGUUGUUGCAGUUAAAAAGCUCGUAGUUGAAUUUCGGGAUUGACACAUCGGUCGUGCCUUAAGGGGUAUGAACUGGUGUAGUCAAUUUCUCACCUUCUGGAGAACCACGAUGCCCUUAAUUGGGUGUCGCGGGGAACCAGGACCUUUACUUUGAAAAAAUUAGAGUGUUUAAAGCAGGCAUUGUGCUUGAAUACAUUAGCAUGGAAUAAUAAAAUAGGACGGCAUGAUUCUAUUUUGUUGGUUUCUAGGAUCACCGUAAUGAUUAAUAGGGAUAGUUGGGGGCAUUAGUAUUCAAUUGUCAGAGGUGAAAUUCUUGGAUUUAUUGAAGACUAACUACUGCGAAAGCAUUUGCCAAGGAUGUUUUCAUUAAUCAAGAACGAAAGUUAGGGGAUCGAAGACGAUCAGAUACCGUCGUAGUCUUAACCAUAAACUAUGCCGACUAGGAAUCAGACGAUGUUAAUUUUUUAAUGACUCGUUUGGCACCUUACG